GGAAAUGAACUAAGUGAUGCCCUUUAUACUAACGCGCAUAUCCAUUUCACAAUGCCAUGGACCAAUGUUCUCAUCUCAGUUGUGACUUAACUCUCUCUCCCCAACGAGCGAGGGGCUGAAUGAUCACCUUAGUCUUCACCGGAAGAAUUCUCCUGGGAUGACUUCAAGGAGUUGUCUUGUAGGGAGGCAACAUCAGCUCAAGGGAGAAGGCCUCUUGGUUUAAGGAAGGAGACCUCUGUUGAGGCUCACAGAUGUCCGAGUUGCUGAAUAUCCUGGGUGAACAGGAGACCUGACUUCCAUUUGCCUCUGAUGCUCAGGCACAGCCCUCGGACGUGGACAUCAUCAAACGUCCUCUUCGCCUUGGAAGGGGGCAAACAAAAUCCAUAUUUCAACUCCAUUUUCUCACUGGGAGGAGAGAGGGGCAGGUACCAGUAAGAUAAGACAGAAAAUGAAGAAAGGAGAUAAGAGAAAAAAAAAGAUGUCUGACUAAAUGAGGUAAGCAAAAGCUUGCCUAUCUCUUCAUUAUGAUAAAAAAAGUAUUUUCCUUUAA
rnacentral:lncRNA from 1 species